rnacentral:rRNA from 1 species
GAUGAACGCUGGCGGCGUGCCUAAUACAUGCAAGUCGAGCGAACAGACGAGGAGCUUGCUCCUCUGACGUUAGCGGCAGACGGGUGAGUAACACGUGGAUAACCUACCUAUAAGACUGGGAUAACUUCGGGAAACCGGAGCUAAUACCGGAUAAUAUAUUGAACCGCAUGGUUCAAUAGUGAAAGACGGUUUUGCUGUCACUUAUAGAUGGAUCCGCGCCGCAUUAGCUAGUUGGUAAGGUAACGGCUUACCAAGGCAACGAUGCGUAGCCGACCUGAGAGGGUGAUCGGCCACACUGGAACUGAGACACGGUCCAGACUCCUACGGGAGGCAGCAGUAGGGAAUCUUCCACAAUGGGCGAAAGCCUGACGGAGCAACGCCGCGUGAGUGAUGAAGGUCUUCGGAUCGUAAAACUCUGUUAUUAGGGAAGAACACAUGUGUACGUAACUAUGCACGUCUUGACGGUACCUAAUCAGAAAGCCACGGCUAACUACGUG